UACGUAGGGGGCUAGCGUUGUCCGGAAUCAUUGGGCGUAAAGCGCGUGUAGGCGGUUCGGUAAGUCCGCUGUGAAAGUCGGGGGCUCAACCCUCGAAUGCCGGUGGAUACUGUCGGACUAGAGUACGGAAGAGGCGAGUGGAAUUCCUGGUGUAGCGGUGAAAUGCGCAGAUAUCAGGAGGAACACCAAUUGCGAAGGCAGCUCGCUGGGACGUUACUGACGCUGAGACGCGAAAGCGUGGGGAGCAAACAGG
rnacentral:rRNA from 1 species